ACUACGGGUGGCAGCAGUGGGGAAUAUUGCACAAUGGGGUAAACCCUGAUGCAGCGACGCCGCGUGAGUGAAGAAGUAUUUCGGUACGUAAAGCUCUAUCAGCAGGGAAGAAAUGACGGUACCUGACUAAGAAACCCCGGCUAACUACGUGCCAGCAGCCGCGUGAAUACGUAGGUGGCCAGCGUUAUCCGGAUUUACUGGGUGGAAAUGUAGCGUGGACGGCAGCGCAAGUCUUGAGUGAAAUCCCAUGGCUUAACCAUGGAACUGCUUUGGAAAAUGUGCAGCUGGAGUGCAGUAGAGGUAAGCGGAAUUCCUAGUGUAGCGGUGAAAUGCGUAGAUAUUAGGAGGAACACCAGUGGCGAAGGAGGCUUACUGGACUGUAACUGACGGUGAGGCUCGAAAGCGUGGGGAGCAAACAGGAUUAGAUACCCGUGUAGUC
rnacentral:rRNA from 1 species